CACACAGCUGUGGCCUACAUGGCAGCAACCUCAGGACCAACAGCACACAAGGCUCUAUGUUACAUAAAGACACAUCCAGCAUCCUUGUCUGAGCCUCCUCGAGUGGCACCUCAAACUCAAUCCUGUGAUUAAAGAAAGGGCUUCAGCCUCAGAUCAAAGUGCGAUCCUGAUGAGGAUUGAUCAGGCAGCAGAUAGAUGCGCACAUAGGAGUCAGUGCCAUUUUCAUUAGAAGGAAACAAGUUCCUGUUGGAAGCCGAGGGAAUAAAAUCGCACAUUACUUUCGGAUGGUCAGUCUGAAGGUCAGUGAGUGAGGUCAAUGAAAAUCAUAGAUGCUUUGGAAUACACAAAACAUCAAAGCGGACAUGGCUCUCAUAUUAAAAGGGGUCAUGAGGUCAAACAGAUUAUUCAAAACAUGACAUCCAAUCUGAAGUGGAAACUCGUGGUGUGUUAGUGAAGCUUGGGAAAACGGUCCUCAACAUCUGACUGCAGAAGAUUCUGCUCUCUGUUUAAAAAUUACAUGAGGUGUAAUUGAAAUAUGAGACGGAGAGCCAUAAAGUGCAGAGAUUCUUAACCAUAGGGCCAGGGCUCAUGGUUGGGCCGCGAGCGCCUCUUAGAGGGCCGCUAAAAGUUUUUUUGUUUUACACCAUUGGGGCGUGAAGGCAGCAAGAGGCUCAGUUUUAAUGCAUGAGCCGCAUAUGGUGGCAGUAGUUUGUCACUGAAUUGACUUGGCAGCUGCAAAUCUGUGAUAGUUACCAACUAUGGAGAAGUUCCUAAAAAAAAAAAAAAAAGAUUAAGAAAGUGAUGCCACCUCCUCCAACAGUAAAAACUGUUCAUGAAAGCACCUGUUGAAGCAGUUUUGAAAAUUAAUUAAAACUAACAUUUUAUGGCGAUGUUUUCAUUUACACUUUACUUAUAUCUUCU